rnacentral:lncRNA from 10 species
UGGCUUUGCACCACAUGAAUUUCCUCUCCCUCCUGGGACUAGGAGUGACCACAGAAUGCUCUUAUGGAGAUGACAGAGCUGCAAGAGGAGAAGGCUCCGCUGGGCAAGUCCCUGCUUGUGUCAUAGCAAAGCAAGUUAUCUGGUCAAACACAGAGUCAAGAGUUGAGGAGGUUUACCUUACCAGAGGUGGCAGGGGUAACUGUGAAGUCAACAGUGUAUCAUUUAGAGUGUGAUUAGAAAACCAGAACAAUAGUGAGUGAUAUAGCAUAAGGGAUUUAUUACAGGGAUUAAAAUUUAUGCAAUUGUGGGAGCUAGUUAAGAAGCCCAUGUAAGGCUGUUGCCUCUAUAUCUGAUGUUGGACCCGAGGUAAUCAGGGCCAGCAGUUGGAGAAGAAAGUUAGACAUAAUGUAGUUAGAACAAACGACUGGGAUCCAUAUUAGUCUCUAACUGUCCUCAAAUCUGAAGACAUGAGUGACUUGCAGGAGAAGUUGGUGCCCUUGGUGUGUGUGGUGAGCUGCACAUAGACCUGGCUCAGGAGCUACAGAAGGUGAAGGAGGAUUUCCAACAGGAACUGGAAGACCUGUGGGGCUGGCCAUGUCAACAAGAGGAGACAGCAAGUCAGUGGGAAUGUGGGUGAGCUGCAGCAGUGCAUGCCCCACACCCACCUUCAGAGUGUGGGAAAUGGCUAUUUUACUUCCCUAUUCCAAAACUCCAUGAAAUUUUUCUUGUGGCAAACUUCAUCCAGAACCAGAUAGAGAAGGACAUUUUUGGAAAUGUAGUUCCAGUUUAAGCUGACAAAGCAAAGCUGCCACCCACAAAAAGGGUGUGGAUUCUGGAAGGGGUCAAAUGUUUGUGCUGAUAAUGCAAAUUACCACAUAUAAGAGCUGUAGAGAAAUUGAGUCAAUGCACAAAAGAAGUACUUGCAUGUCACUACCAAUUAUUGCUUAUUGAAACUGAAGAUUUCAAUGCUCCUCAUCAACUUUAUAAAUCUUGCCUCUACCAUCUCUGAAGAAAGCAACACAUGUGGAUAAUAGUGGGACUGUGAGACAGAAGACGGUGGAAUGAUAUUGGUUUCCCUGUAAGUUUCUCACCAUCCUGCAGCCUUCUGAGGGAUAAUCUCUUGUUGGCCUGAAUAACCUCUCACCAGGAACUUAAACUUCCUAAAAAAUAUUAAAAGAAGGCUGGGCAUGGUGGCUCAUGCCUAUAAUUUCUGAGCUUUGGGAGGCUGAGGCCAGAGGAUCCCUUGAGGGCAAGAGUUUGAGACCAGCCUGGGCAACACAGUGAAAUACCAUCUCUACAAAAUAAAAACAUCAUUUAAAAAAAUUAGCCAGCUGUGGUGGCAUGCACUUGUGGUUCCAGUUACCUGAGAGACUGAGGCAGGAGGAUUGCUUGGGCCCAGGAGUUUGAGGUUCUAAGCAAGCUAUGAGUGUGCCACUGCUCUCCAACCUGGACAUCAGGGUCAAUAAAUCUUGAUAUUCACUUCAACAGAAGCCAAUAUCUUCAGAUUACGAGUUAUUAAUCUUGGCCAAGCUGAAAAAUUGUGUGACUAUUUUUCUUUUGCUAAAGAAAAUGAGGACUUUUUGUCCGUUUUUCCCUCAGCCUCUCUUAAAAGGGAAAGUUAAUUUUUAUCUGAAUCGCCCAACUUCCUUAUCAGCUUUAGUGCUUGAGGUUGAGGUAUGAGACUUCAUAGGAGUUUCAGAAACCUCUCUGUCUCACUGAAGCAACUGCAGGAAGUAGGGGAUAAACAAAUCCUAUCUUAAAUCCUCCUGGGAAAUACUCUGAUUUUAGGAGGAACUAAGAGAGGGUUGUGGCCAAAUUACUCCUGCCCAUCUUUGUGUUAUUUAUGGCCUUUGCUUGAUUUGAGUUAAAACAAAUGUACUUCUAGAACCUGGCAGCAAAAUGCUAUAUAAUAGAGAAGAGCAGCUGUAUCUGGCCCAUCUCAGGAUAAAAAGCAAGUGUGAAAAGACAUCGUUCCUUUUCUGUUGAACCAGAUCACUAUUCAAAAGAUUCAUUCCCCAAGAUUCUUCCUCAGCUUUGUCUUCAAUAGUCUCAAUGAAAUAGAAGAAAUUUAAAAAGUAAAAGCAAUGAGAACAACUUUAAGACAUCUCUGUAGAGAAUUCAGUCCUCUUCAGCAGUCCCAUAUUUUCAUCUGUUCAUUCAUUCAUUCCACGAAUGUCAACUCUCCAUACCGUGCUAGGCUGUGUCCUAGAUGCAGAAGCAGAACAAAUAAAGAGGCACUAGCUGAUGUCCUUGAGCCCUUUCAGGGUAACAACAUCCUUCUUGAUCUGCUGACCUGCAUGGCAAGAUGUUAUUUACUGCUCACAUUAGUUGUGUCCUUGGCUAUGAAUUAACCAUGACUUAAGAGCAGUGUGUGUGAAAGCCCUCCGCAUUCUGUUGGCAAGCAUGUUGUUUGCAAAAAUUGAUCAUUCAUUUUUAAGCAACACCUAUGUGGAUCAUUAACACCAGGUACAGUUACUAAAAUGAAACUCUUGAGAAUAUUUUCCAUUUGUAAUUUGAAUUCUUGUCAAUUUUUGAGGCUUUCCUGAAAACAAAUGACUGGGUUUUUUAAAAUCCAUCUUUUUAAGUUUUUUAUUCACUGAAUUAGUUAGAAGUGAUUCUGCUAAUCUUUCUUAACCCUAAAUGCAAUAUUUUCUGAGUGAAAUAAUGAAAAACCUGAGGAAAAAAAAACUAUAGGAAAUCAUAAUUUGCUGAGGCAGGGUUUUCUUUAUUAAUAAAAUAAUUUAAUUGGUUGUUACUAAAUGUGAUGGUUUUAUGACCAAGUAUAAGAUUUAGUUAGUAAGCAUGAAUUGCAAUUAUAUACAGCAAUAUUUCUUUGCUGGGAUGAUUGGGAAGGUCAUCUCUUUGGGCCUUAGUUUCCUCAUCCAUAAAGUAAGUUUGUUUGUACUCCAUUGAAAAAAAAAAAAAGGGUGGGGGCUGGGUGCAGUGGCUCACACCUGUAAUCCCAGCACUUUGGGAGGCCGAGGGGGUGGAUCACUUGAAGUUAGGAGUUCAAGAUCAGCUUGGGCAACAUGGUGAAACCAUGUGUCUACUGGAAAUACAAAAAUUAGCUGGGAGUGGUGGUAUGCCUCUGUAAUCCCAGAUACUCAGUGACUGAGGCAAGAGAAUCCCUUGAACCUGGGAGGCAGAAGUUGCAGUGAGCCGAAAUUGGGCCACUGCACUCCAGCCUGGGUGACAGCAUGGGACUCCAUCUCAAACAAACAACAACAACAACAAAAUAGGAAAUUGGGAUUUUUAUAUUUCUCUGGCUUCUUAUGCUGCAAUUCACAUUCCCUAGGAGAGUGAAUAUGGGAUUUGCAAUUUUCCCUAAAAUCUAGAGCAGAAAUCAGCAAACAAUGGCUCUUGGUCCAAGUCUGGCUCACUACUUGUUUUUAUAAAGUUUUCUGAAAUACAGCCAUGCUCAUUUUUAAACCUAUUGCUUAUGCCUGGUUUCAUACUAUAAAGUCAGAGUUGUAUACUUGCAACAGAGACUGAAAGCUAAAAAUAUUAACUCUUUGGAUCUUCCCAGAAAAAGUUUGCUGCUCCAGAUCUAGGGUAAGAAUCUCCAAAGUCAGAGUAUAUGCACCUUUAGGAGAAAAAUGUUUAACUUGAACUUCCAUGAAGAUUUGUUUUUUUUUUGUCCCAACCUUUAUUAUUUUUGAUAUGUGUUUUACAAUGUACCUAAUAAUUGACUAUAGUAAAUAUGAAAUUAUUGCUAAUAAAUAUACAUAUAUGGGAGCAUAUUCUCAAAGUAUUUUACUAAUGCAAGAGGCAUGGUCAAAAAGAUGUGGAGGCCAUUAGUCAGAAGAUGCAGGUAUUCCAGAUAAAAUACACGAAUGCAACCCAUAAAAUGAUAGCAAAUAUACAUUGUGACUUCAACAAAGGCCAGGCUACAUAGGAUACUUUCUGUUUUAGUAAUAAAAUUCAGGAAACUUACAGAAGAAAUCUGUACUUAUUUAUUUCAGACAGGGUCUCAUUCUGUCACCCCGGCUAGAGUGUGGUGGCAUAAUCAUAGCUCACUGCAACUUCUACCUCCAGGGCUCAAGUGAUCCUCCCACCUCAGCCUCACAAGUAGCAGGAAUUACAGGCACAUGCUACCACACUUGGCUAAAUUUUUUAUUUUUUGCAGAGGCAAGAUCUCACUAUAUUGUUCAGGCUGGUCUUGAACUCUUAGGCUCAAGUGAUCCUCCUGCCUCAGCCUCCCAAAGUGCUAGGAUUACAGGCAUAUGCCACCACACCUGGCUUGUAUUUUCGAUAAUUUAAAAAUGCACAUCUUUCAUUUAUAUUUUGGAACAGUCCUUCUCAAAUUGUCUUUUUGUAGGACCACUUUUUGAUUUUUAAACCAUUUUGAACUUAUAUUUUUAUAAAUACAAUAAAAAUUACUUAAAAAAGUGCAAUGACAAAAACAAUCUCUAUUUUUUAAUUAUUAGAUUUAACAAACAUACAACUACUGUGUCAAAUUGCUAUAGAAGUUUCAAAAUAUUUACUCUCGACUAUCGCUUUGUGAAUCACUAGCAAAAAUGUUUGUAGACCAGGAUUGGUUCACUAACAUACGAUAGCACUGGUGUACAGGACUCAAGGGCUUCCUGUAAAAGGCAGGGAUCUGAAAUUUCUUCUAGUGCCUUAAUUUUUGGAGUGGAUGCUUUAUUUAAAUGAGCGAUUACAGCAAAGCGGCAAUAUAAAAUGAUUUGUAAAUGAAAGCAAAAUUUCUAAGUUCUGAGGAUCAAUUCAAUUCAAAUCAUAUGUCUUGGCCUAUGUACAAGGCAAUAUGACAGCCCUAUAAAUAAUAAAAUAUGAUGGAAGACUUUCUUUGCCCUCAUGAAGAUUAAAGUCAAAUAAGACAUUGUUUUUUAAACUUUUUUUGACAGAAGUUCAGUGUUAAAAAAUACAUUUUAUAACAUAAUCCACCAUGCAGGUAUAUAUAUAUUUGAAAUAAGAAUAUUAUUAAAGAUUUAC